rnacentral:rRNA from 1 species
AUUGAACGCUGGCGGCAUGCCUUACACAUGCAAGUCGAACGGCAGCACGGACUUCGGUCUGGUGGCGAGUGGCGAACGGGUGAGUAAUAUAUCGGAACGUGCCCUAGAGUGGGGGAUAACGUAGCGAAAGUUACGCUAAUACCGCAUACGAUCUACGGAUGAAAGUGGGGGAUCGCAAGACCUCAUGCUCAAGGAGCGGCCGAUAUCUGAUUAGCUAGUUGGUGGGGUAAAGGCCUACCAAGGCUACAAUCAGUAGCUGGUCUGAGAGGACGAGCAGCCAAACUUGAACUGAGACACGGCCCAGACUCCUACGGGAGGCAGAAGUGGGGAAUUUUGGACAAUGGGCGCAACCCUGAUCCAGCAAUGCCGCGUGUGUGAAAAAGGCCUUCGGGUUGUAAACUGCUUUUGUACGGAGCGAAAAGGCUCUCUCUAAUACAGGGGGCUCAUGACGGUACCGUAAGAAUAAGCACCGGCUAACUACGUGCCAGCAGCCGCCGUAA